rnacentral:lncRNA from 1 species
UAUCUUCUGAAUAUGCACAUAUACUUGAAAAUCUAUAUGCAUUAUAAACACAUUAUAGUUCAACACAAUAUACUUCUAAUUUCAGCAGUUUUUUGAGUAUUUAUAUAUAUACUUGAAAAUGUUUGCCUUUACAAAAAAUCUACACAUUUCUAAUAACCUCCAAAAAUGCUAAUCAAAAUGUAUUUCAACACAUUCUAGUUCUAUCUUCUAAAUAUGCUAUAUAACCUGAAACAACACCAAAUAAAGAUUGUAGUAAGCAAAUGGAAUUCACUCAAAGUUAUUCAGAUCACAUUCAAAAUUAAAGUAAGAGUUCAAUACCUCACAAAACCUGUAGCUCGAUAAUGAAUUGACACAAUUCCUCUUUAAUUUCAUCCAACUGAUCUUUUGAGUAAUAAGCACAUCUAUAUUCAUCAAAGUACUACAUAAUAAUAUAACAUAGUAUGAUUUAGUUAAAUCUAUUUAAUUAUGAGAAAUAUGUGUUAAAUAUGAAAAUAACUCAUAAGUUAGAAAUCCAUACAUCAGAUGGAAUAUCUGUUCGAUCCAUAAGAAGAGUUUCUUUCAUAAACCUCAACGUGUAAUAUCCACAAUCUAUAUUAUUACGCUGUCGAGGACACUACACAUGGAAAAACAAUAUGGAUAAAUAUCCUAAGUUUUAUCAUGUGUCAUCACUAAUAUAAUCAAAAUUGUGAUAAUUAAUAUACCUCCACUCUAUUCCAUGUAAUGUUAUUGGCUUUUCUCUUUGGUACUUGAAUUUUUCUUUGUGCUCGAACAGUUUGUAUAAUGCUAUAAUGAAAUAUAAACGAAUAUUUAGAACAAUUCACAUAAAUAAAUAAGUAUACACACGAAUAUUGGGUUAUUUGCACUUACGUGUCAACUAUCGUCUUCAUAGCAGGGUAUGUUGUCCAAUCAUUGUGUAAAGAAUCCAAAUAAUACACAAUUUCUUUAAAAGGAUUUAUCGCGACCAACAACCAAUGUCCACUGUAAUAAAACAAAUGUUAGAUGGAAACUUUCUACACGACGUCAAAAUAUGAAAAAUUAUAACAGAUGAAUUUAGAUUGAAGAACUAACCCGUCGCCGGUAUUAAACGGUAAAAAGAACAACUUUUCUCUAUCUGUGUCGGCCAUAAAGCGCUCGACUACAUACGUCCUGACUUCAUCUGGUUUUCUUAUCAUUUCGGUUAAGUUCGUUUUCAUGGGAUUUAAGAAUGAGAAUCUUUGCUCCAACCCACGCGGACCCAUCAAUUUGUCAUAUAAAUACCUUAUAUAAAAACAUCAUUAACAUUUAGACUAUUCAUAUGAAACGAGUAAAUAACUUGUUCAAGAAUUUAAACAAAGUAGAUCGGAUAUACCUCAUGUAUGUGUUGAUAACACCAACGCUUAAUUGCGUAUGAUACAAAAUUUGAUCAAAAUCCUCUUUACCCAAUGGCUCGGCAUACUCAAAACCAAAAAUAGCUCCAUCCAUAGGUAUUAAACGAACACAUCCAUCCGAAAUAUCUGUCGUUUCUAAAUAUGUAUGGAGGCACGCUCUAUACUUGGAAGGAUUUUUCUUUUUAGCCCCGGUCCUCUUGGAAAUUUCAGUCUUCUUAGCAACAGGAAUCUAAAUAUCAUAUAAUUAGUAAGGUGAAGUGUAAGAUGACGAAUUAACAGGAAUCUAAAUAGCAUAUAAUUGUGAUGUACCUCUUUUUGCGAUGCAACUGACUCGAUUUCCCGCGCAAUCCCCUUAUCUUUUGCUUUGGAUUUUGUGGGAGUCUAAUUAACAUUAACAUGUAAAAAAUGUGUACGUAAAAUGCGCGUAAAAAAUUUGAAUACCUAAAGGUUCAUAAUGGUUUUAAGCAUACCUCAUAUCCUACGAUAAUGAGGUCUGUCGGCCAUGCAACAAAUGAACCUAUGGCAUCUCCCAAUAAAGUUGCAUCCGAAACAUCGUCAGGAUGUGGUAAUAACGCAUCCUUCUCCAAAGCAAUAUCAACCGAGACUUUCAAAGAUCCAGUAGGGAGCGGUUUAGUGUGAAGUAAUUCACCCAAAUUGUUAUGAACUUUCCCCUUGCCAACCAUCCGAUAAGUCGGUCUCGCUAAGUAGAGGUGACAAGGUGAAAUGCCCUAAAACCAAUAAUAAAUAUGACAUUUUUAAUGUGUAUAUAUGACAAUUAAAUAAAUUAAGCUAAUUUAAUUUCAUAAUAAGAUAUAUAAUUACCUCUGGAAUAGUCGGUUGAAAAUUACAAUUGAUACUAUCUUUGUCACUAGUAUCUUUAAAACCCGCUGCUCGAUCUCUUUCUCUUUCCUUUCUUAAUUCAAGAACUUCAGCUUUUAAUGCUUCCAAAGUUUGCUGCAGUUCUUUAUUGCUAGGAGUCUUUUGUUUUUUAAUAUUCAAGGAUUUUUGAGUGAUCCCAAAUCCCUUGCCCCUCACCCGACCAGAAUACUCGGGAACAUCUAAUGCUCGACUCAGUAUGCUCCUGCAAUCAGUGUCUUCAUAUGGAACUAUAGAUUGAGAUAGAGUCUCCUGAAAAUCAUAUGAACAUACACACAAUAGUAAUGUUAUUGUCUUAAGUAAGUGUCAAAGUCAAAGUGUUCGAAAUUGGACGAUUCAAAAGUGUCAAAGUCAAAGUGUUAUUGUCUUAAAUAAUGCUAUACUUACACAUUUCUCAAAUAUUUGUUGAACGUCUUCUUUAAUCUUUCCAUCCUUACCGACACGGGCUUCCUUCCACAAAACAUGUGCCGGAAGAGAUGUUUCAGAACUAUUCUCCUUUGUUAACUACACAUUAAGCAUAAUAUGAUCAAAUAUAACUCAUGACAAAAUAUGAUCAAAUAUAACAAGUAUAUCAAUGCAAUUUAUAGAUACUUACUAUAGACUGCUCUAAGCGUCCAUAUCCAACACGCCCUUUUCUAUAGGGAUACGCCGGACUUGAUGCUCUUUGCCGGUUUGUUUCACUUACACUCUUAAAUUCUUGGGUUUUUCGUUUGGAUUUAAACGUUUCCCAUUCUUUAGGUGAAAUCAAACUUGCAUAUUUAGAUGGAAGCUCUGCAUCAACAAAAGUACCUUCCGUAUCCCUAAGAAAGGUGGUUGAUAAAAAGGUUCUAAACCCUCUUAGUAACUUUCCGGCCAAUUUGAGACAAUGAUCUCUUCUGUUUUCUUCGAUGUCGAAACACCUCUACGAAAAACAUACACACAUUGCGUUAGUACAAUUAAUUUAAAGACAUAAUCGUCAUUAAAAACAAAUAACAUCACAUAUGGUACCUUUAUCUCACUCCAUAUUUUGUCUUUAGCUUCGUUCAAUUGUUUAUUUCUCCAAUUAUCACAAGUAAUUGGAACUUCAUUCCUUACCAAUGCACCAAUAAAACUUGUCAAUGUUGAACCGUUAGGCUCAAUUAGUUGUCCACCUUCGUUCCAAUGCACUUUUAUUAAAACGCCUCGAUCUCUAUCUCGAAUAACUUUCUUCAUAACCGUUAUUCCACGUUUAAUUUCCCUUUCCGCACCACCAACGGUCUCAUCACCAUGUGGGUGAUCCUCGUUACUAGCCAUCUGUAAUAAAGAAAAACAUAAACACAAUAUUAAGCAAAUAUGAAUACAAAUCAAGUAAGUGUCAAAGUCAAAGUGUAUUGAAUUGGACGAAAAUUACAUGGUAGCCUACAAACGGGCCAAAGGACUCAAAAAUGAACUCGAUUCGUCCAAAUUCCGAGUGGAAGCAUGUUUUUUGUAACAGUACAGCAACAGUAAAAUCAGGGAAAAAGUUGUCCGAAUCGAAAAACAAAGUAUACCAUUGGCUCCGGAAUCGUGGAGAAAGNGCUGGCAUAGGGGGGUUUAGACAGCGCUUUUUCAGUAAAAGCGCUGUCUAAGACUCCAAAUUUUGGAGGAUCUUUUUAUACGUUUUCACCACAUUAUUUAGCACCUGUAAAUUGCAAAUUUCAGCAGAUUUUCAUAAAUUGGAGCUUGAAUCCAAUCUAUAUGCACCUUAUAGUUCAACACAUUGUAGUUCUAUCUUCUGAAUAUGCACAUAUACUUGAAAAUCUAUAUGCAUUAUAAACACAUUAUAGUUCAACACAAUAUACUUCUAAUUUCAGCAGUUUUUGAGUAUUUAUAUAUAUACUUGAAAAUGUUUGCCUUUACAAAAAAUCUACACAUUUCUAAUAACCUCCAAAAAUGCUAAUCAAAAUGUAUUUCAACACAUUCUAGUUCUAUCUUCUAAAUAUGCUAUAUAACCUGAAACAACACCAAAUAAAGAUUGUAGUAAGCAAAUGGAAUUCACUCAAAGUUAUUCAGAUCACAUUCAAAAUUAAAGUAAGAGU